rnacentral:misc_RNA from 1 species
GAUGAAGAACGCAGCGAAAUGCGAUACGUAAUGUGAAUUGCAGAAUUCAGUGAAUCAUCGAAUCUUUGAACGCACAUUGCGCCCGCCAGCACUCUGGCGGGCAUGCCUGUUCGAGCGUCAUUUCAACCAUCAAGCCCCAGGCUUGCGUUGGAGCCCUGCGGCUGCCGCAGCCUCCUAAAGGCAGUGGCGGGCUCGCUAUCACACCGAGUGCAGUAGAUUACUCUUCGCUCAGGGCGUGCAGCGGGUUCCGGCCGUGAAACCCCCUACUUUUAAAGGUUGACCUCGGAUCAGGUAGGAAUACCCGCUGAACUUAAGCAUAUCAAUAAGCGGAGGA